GGGGUGGUAGUAAAUCAAUUACGUAUGGUUUCGGCCCAUAAGGAGGGAAAUUCCCCCACCCCU
rnacentral:tRNA from 1 species